UACGUAGGGUGCGAGCGUUGUCCGGAAUUAUUGGGCGUAAAGGGCUCGUAGGCGGUUUGUCGCGUCGGGAGUGAAAACACCGGGCUUAACUCGGUGCUUGCUUUCGAUACGGGCAGACUAGAGGCAUGCAGGGGAGAACGGAAUUCCUGGUGUAGCGGUGAAAUGCGCAGAUAUCAGGAAGAACACCCGUGGCUAAGGCGGCUCUCUAGUACGGUACUGACGCUGAGACGCGAAAGCGUGGGGAGCGAACAGG
rnacentral:rRNA from 1 species